rnacentral:rRNA from 1 species
UACGUAGGUGGCAAGCGUUGUCCGGAUUUACUGGGCGUAAAGAGCGCGCAGGCGGUCGUUCAAGUCGCGUGUGAAAGCCCCCGGCUCAACUGGGGAGGGUCACGCGAUACUGGUCGACUCGAAGGCAGGAGAGGGUAGUGGAAUUCCAGGUGUAGCGGUGAAAUGCGUAGAUAUCUGGAGGAACACCGGUGGCGAAGGCGGCAUCCUGGACCGGUAUUGACGCUGAGGCGCGAAAGCCAGGGGAGCAAACGGG